UCCCAUUCCCUCAGGGCCUUGCCUGGUACUGCGCCUGGCUCAGGAGAGAAAUUUUGCACUUUGAAAUGGGUAUCAGUGACAAGGUGAGAUAUCCACUAUGUCCAGAGGGUCGUGGCCUGGAUAGUUCCCAUGGUGCACAGUGACUUUCAACAUCAUCUGGUCUUCGGCUUAAAACCAAACUCUGCCAUUUCCAG
rnacentral:lncRNA from 1 species